rnacentral:ncRNA from 1 species
UACCUGGUUGAUUCUGCCAGUAGUCAUAUGCUUGUCUCAAAGAUUAAGCCAUGCAUGUCUAAGUAUAAGCAAUUAUACCGCGAAACUGCGAAUGGCUCAUUAUAUAAGUUAUCGUUUAUUUGAUAGUACCUUACUACUUGGAUAACCGUGGUAAUUCUAGAGCUAAUACAUGCUAAAAAUCCCGACUUCGGAAGGGAUGUAUUUAUUAGAUUAAAAACCAAUGCCCUUCGGGGCUCACUGGUGAUUCAUGAUAACUCCUCGAAUCGCAUGGCCUUGUGCCGGCGAUGGUUCAUUCAAAUUUCUUCCCUAUCAACUUUCGAUGUUUGGGUAUUGGCCAAACAUGGUUGCAACGGGUAACGGAGGGUUAGGGCUCGACCCCGG